GAUUAAUGAUAAGAACUUUCGCCUUGUUUCUCAACACAUUCGCAGUGGCCGCCUAAGAACUUUCGCCUUCGCCAGGCUUGAGAGUUUGUGCAGCUUUAUUCCUUCCUUGGAUGUCUGAGCCC